AUUUUUCCUUAUUGACUUUCUCCAAAUAAACCCCUGGCCAGCAGAAAGGGGCUCCCGGCAGCAGCUGCUUACCCAGUGUUUGUGAUAAAGAGGCUUCUCCAUAGCAACAGGUGGCAAUGUGCAGCUCUCCGAGAACAUGGCGGGCCUCGCCACAGGGCUGUGUUUACUCAGAGGGGAAGGCAUAGAGGCAGAGGGAGGGAGGAAGGAAGGAAGGGAGGAAGGGCAGGAGGGAGGGAGGGAAGGGGAGACCAGGAAGGAAGCCUCAGCGGGAGUUUGGAGGGCUCUGUCCUCUGGGAGGCUUCUUCCAGAGAGUUCCUGGUGGGUCCAGGGGUAGGGAUAGGCCGGCACGUGGGCAUGUGACUUGCAUGGAACUGCUCGCCUGCUGGGUGCGGGGCCACUGUGAACAGGAGGACCUUGCAUAGGAGCCGUGCGACGCGGGCUUGUGUGGCCUAGUCAAAGUGGCCUGCUCCCUGGAGAACAGAGGCCAGGCAUUAGCCCCCACCCCAACUGUUUCCCCGGGCACUUGGAGGAGAGUCUUCAUCCCGAGCAAAGGAGGAAGCGGAGUCAGGAACUGUACUCGUACAGCAACGUAGCCGGAAUGGUGGGUUAGAAUUGAUUUCUGAGCAAGUCAGCCAAAGGGGACCCAGGAAUUCGUUUGGCACCACAUCGGACAGGGGACAUCCAGCCUGUGCUGUGACAUUUGUAGCGAUGGGAGGCUCAGUGCCUCGCAAGCUUGCCCACUCUGCUGUAAGAUAAUCCGGAACCACUGGAAAUGUCUUCCUGCUUUGGGACCGCAACUGGGACUCUUGGUUUGGGGGAUGCCUCCAGCAGCACCUCCCGCCCUACCUUUCUCUUGCCAAGCUCCAGAACUCUCCUGCAUUCCCAAUCACUCAGUGCUUCAUGGAUUCGGUCCUUCUCUGUGCCCAUCAUUCAUCCAGACGGAACCCCCAGCCGUUUGAUGGUCUGCCCUCCAUUCAUUCCCAUCACUCAUUCAUGGAGUCCUGGAAUGUCAGAGCUAGAAGGGGGCCUCAGAAGCGAUCUGGUCCAGUGGUUUGAAAAUGAGAACACAUUUUUCAAAGAGAAGCAUCUGUGGACGCUCUAUAGAGAAAAUAG
rnacentral:lncRNA from 1 species